UCUGUAUUCUUACUCUUUUAACUUUAUUUCUUUUUAAUCAAUUUUUCUACAUCUUAAAAACUAGUAUCGCAUUGUUACAUAUCUUUCUCGGUAAUAGAUAUAUGUUUUCGUUCUUUUACAGCCAUCUUCUUGUCUGGAUUGCAGCAAACACAAUCAAAAACUGCUUUUCUGCUGAAAGAGAUUUAUCACAUGAUGAAUGUGGGAUUCAAGAUGCACCUUUCUUUACAUGAUCAGCAUCUUUCACAGCCCAUAAACAUUUUUAAGUGACCUUCGGUUCUGUUGUAUUCAAUGCUGUUAUUUUGAAGUUGGAAUUACUGCCUUCUCGGAUAGUUCCUGAAAGUUACUUUCAUGGUAUGUGUACUGCCAACAAAUCUUCUCCCAGUGCUUUUUUUUUUUGGUUUUAAUUCAUACUUCAAGACCUAAAAAUUCAUGUUUUUAACUUAGAGAGAAUAUCAUCGCGCGGAAGCUGCUUGAAUAUUAUGUUUCUAAAUUGCAGAAAAGAGCAUUAACUUGGCAUUAAGCUUAAAAAAAGACCACAUGAAGACCAUAAAUCCACAAAAACAUUAUUAUAAAAUCUUUGGACUCUUCAUUUAUGGAAGUUUGUUGAAUAGCUUUUCUGUUAGAAACUCUGCAUUUUUUUUAACACCAUAUGGUCGCUAGAAAUACCUGCUGAAUAAAAUUAGAAACCAAAACGUCUUUAGAUUCAUCAUCAAUAAGAAAUUACCAGUUGCAAAAAAAAUCACUCUUAAUUAGGGAACUUAAUGACCAUAAUCAGGGGGGGGGGGUGAUAGUAUUAAGUACAAAUUGAAAAAAUUAGAUCAAUUGAUGCACAUGCUGAAUAUUGGAUCAGACAUACAACAUGUUUUGGUUGGAAUAUGUACGUGUGUUUCCUAUACAUGUUUUAUUAGUUAAUUGGUAAGUAUGACCCGUCUGGUGAAGUAGAUGGUUGUGCCAAAAAUAUUGUUUGGAGCCUCAAAACUCAUCCGUUAUUUUGGACUCUUGAUCAGUUGUGACUUCAAAGUAGCUGGAGCAGUGAUAAUUAAGAUAAUAAAACGGCAUGUGGUGGAAAUGCAUUUAUCAAGAUUUCAGAGUGAGCGAGGAAGCAUGUGUCGUCUGCGUCCAUUGACCAUGGAUUGUUUUAUGGAAGCAUGCUGUUUUCUCAAUAAACAAAUAAAACAAGAAAAGAGAAGACAUUGAUUGCAUUAGAGUUAAAUAGUUAUGAAGCCAAUUAGCCAUAAUAUAUAAUAAUGAUUAUUAUGUAUGCAAUGCAAUAUUGCUCUAUGAAUCUAUAUAGUUUUAUAAUUCUUGUUUUUUCUUUUUUUCUUUUUAAGAUCAACGCUGUUGCAUAUAUAUUCGAGAGUCCACUUGCUUUCCAUCGCAAAAUACCAUUGAGAAUUGCUCAUGUAAUUAGUUAGUUGAAUAACUUAUUAUUAUUAUUGUUAUAAUUAUUUUUAUAGAAUAAUAUAAAUUACAUUUUGAAGUUAGAUAGUUUUUUAACAUGGUAUUAGAAUAUUAAUAAUUAAAUGGUUAUGUAUUUGAAUUUCAUCAUUUUUAUUUUUUUAAUUAAAAUUAAUUAAUAGCAUAAAGUAGCGUGAAACUAUAUAAUUUUUAAGUUUAAAAAUUUUUGGAUUGAAAUGAUUAGUUUUACAUAAAUUAUAAAUUAAUGUAACAAAGGGAGAACCUAAUUACAGAUAAUUAAGUCUAGAAAAAGAUUAAAUAGCUUGCCUUAUUUCACAUAUAUGUUUGUUUCUGCUAGUGUAUGGAUAAUUUUCAUGGCUGACCGAGUCAGAAGGAAGGAGCUAACAGUUGAUCUAUAAUGCAUGCUUUAUCUAGAUUCAUGUGAACAAAUCUAGUUCUCUUUAUCUUCAUUUUUUUUUAGUAAUGCAUAAUCAUGAUAAUAUUCUCCCAGUCGUGUUAAUUUCCAUAAGAAACUUUCUUCUUAUGUCCAAUUUCCUUAUAUUCGAACCUACAAGAGGGGAGUAAAUCCAGUAAUCACCCACGGUGUCCUUCCAAAGCACCUGGCUAGUUAUUAUGAUUUGCAGCGAAAUUGUUUUUUUCAUUCAUUUAUUUAUUUAAAUAAAACUAUAUAUGGGCUAUAUAUAGUGUCAUCAAUAUCUUUGAGUUUUCAUUGAACAAUUAUGAAGUUCAUAUCAAUUGCUUGCGCAAUAGGAUAUUGACUAUAGUCUUCUGCAUUAUGUUAUUAAAUAAACCUUUCAAUCUAUCAUUCUUCUUAGCUAUGAUCGUUUUGUCUCGGUAGUUGAAAGUAGUUCGGCGGUAAGUGUUGUCUUUACAUGCAUGUAUAGUUCUUGUAAGAACUACAGUGAUUGGCGCAGCCUUAAAUUGAAAUAUUACACUA